rnacentral:tRNA from 1 species
GGUAAGAUGGCCGAAGACAGGUGGCAGGUUGUAGCCCUGUAUAUGCGGGCACUAGCCCCGCUCUUAUCACA